CGCGUAGGCGGAUGUUACAGUCAGGCGUGAAAUUCCUGGGCUCAACCUGGGGGCUGCGUUUGAUACGUGAUGUCUGGAGUUCGGAAGAGGGUCGUGGAAUUCCCAGUGUAGAGGUGAAAUUCGUAGAUAUUGGGAAGAACACCGGUGGCGAAGGCGGCGACCUGGUCCGAUACUGACGCUGAGGCGCGAAAGCGUGGGGAGCAAACAGGAUUAGAUACCCUGGUAGUCCACGCUGUAAACGAUGUGCGCUGGAUGUUGGGUGACAUAGUCAUUCAGUGUCGUAGCUAACGCGAUAAGCGCACCGCCUGGGGAUACGGCCGCAAGGUUGAA
rnacentral:rRNA from 1 species